GCGGCAGGAGGUGGUGCUGCCAUCCCGCGACGUGACGGGCUGCGCGGAGGCCGGGAAAGGAAAUGCAGCUGGCACCGCGCGUAGGGCCGCUUUAGGAAAGGAGCCUUGUGGGGCGGUGACGGCGACUGAGAUCCGAAGAGGGCCGGCUGUCACACCGCUGCCCUUCCAGCCCGGGUUCUGGCCCCGCAGCCGGCUGCUCGGUCAGCACGGGCACCACGCACACCGGCGACCCUCCUUUCCCCUUCUUUCUUAUAUAGGAUGUCAGCCCUGCGUAGCCCCGCAGCGUUUCGCAGCUCUGUGGCUCGAGGACAGUGCUGUGGGAUGUUCCUUCUCUCCAUGAAGCUGGGCGGAAGGCAGCGAGCUGUGCCUGCUGCUUGCUGUUCAUACAGGGUACAUUCACCAUGCACACUGCUUGGUCUGCACUGACAAAGAAUGAGCCCCACAGACUUCAGAGCUAUGGCUGCAGCACGAAGGAUUCAGACUGCUUCAUUUGGGCAAAGAUCUACUACCAACCAGCCACAUCAAUCCCAGGUCUAGGUUUGUUCCUGUCACCCGGUUUGCAUGCUCACUUAGAAAGGCCCAGCACACAGAGGGGUGCCGUAGCGCUCUCAGCUCUCAGUUUUUAGUGUACCUUACCUUACAAAGGAACACCUUGCUCGCCUUCCCACGAAUGUUGGCCUGCUGCCAUGACAGGAACUCAUCAACUCUGGCCUGUUUCUGCAGGUCAGAGGGAUACCAGUGAUCGGGAGUCUUGAAUUUCCGGGCCAGGUACAUGAGGAUGGCAACGCUGGCAGAGAGCAGGACAGAGCAGUGAGUGGUAAGCUGAGGUGAAGGCACCUCAUCCUUUCUCCUUCUCCCAAAUACUGCACUGCUGUGUGAGCAGCAGUACAAAUGUAAUUUAAGUCAGGUAUAAGUGAGAAUGUGUGAUCAUUGGGUGGUCACAGCACAUGGCAGAGUUUGUGCUGGCUUGCUGGUUGCUCAGGGACAGCAAUCGUCCAUCGUGUCACCAGCAGGCCACCAUUGCAUGACCACCAACAGGCAUCACCAUUGCAUCUGCCUGGCUGUGCUACAGUUACCCUGCAGACAUUUCAGAGCGUACAUAAACCACAGAAUGAGUUCAUUCCAACUCAGAGCUUAGCGCUGCCAGGCCAUCCUGCAGCAGGUGCCUUCUGACAGAUCUACACAUUGAACUACAGCCCCCAGCUGAAGGCAGAGAGCAGAGGACAUAGGGGCAGGUGUCUGAGCUCAGAAACAUUGCCUGCAUGCAAGCUAGCUCCAAGCAGCAGCUCAGAGUUUUCAUCAAGCAUCGGGACAAACAGUGCUUCAGCAGAGGACUGAGCUUAUUUGUGCCUUACCUCUCUGCCAAGGUGAAGGAACCAUCCUUCAGUGCAGGCACUUUCAUCAGCAUGUUCACCUUCCUGAACUCCUCGGUCCUAUGCUGCCCUGAGGGAAAUGAGAGAUUUUUUCUCAUCAGUGGUGCUCAGCACCCAUCUGGGAUCAGCUGAGGAGCCCACGGACAACACAUGGACCAUUUCUGGCUUUGUACAAAUACAGCCCUGUACCACUUAUUGCCUGCAUACCAGAACAACCUCUUGACAAAGGUUCAGAGUCCUUUCAUACCAGCAAUGUUUGUCAACUCAAGGCGGUAUCAGCACAAACUUUGUGCUUGGAGGCACCUGUCAGGGCAUGAACACCAAGGAGCUUUGGGGGGAAGGGAUCUCAGUACCACAGACACAGUGGGUUAACCACAGGGGUAGUGAGAAAGAAAGCAAUUUUUCCCUUUCUUUUUUUUUUUCCUUUUUCUUGGAAAAUGAGAAAAUUCAUAUUAAACUCUCUUUACAGUCCUCUGUUUAGAGGAAACAAAUUCCUAUGAUUCCAUAUAAAGCCACGAGAACUUUAUUACAAACACAUCAAUAAGCUCUUUGCUCUUUGUGCGAGUUUUCUUUAUCAUAGAUCAGAGCAAAAACAGACGUGAGUUUGCUUUUAAGCCAUCUUUUAGGUCUCCUCUGUAAAGCAGGCAGAGUAAAGCCAACCAGAGGCGUUUUGUUCCUUUGGAGUCCCGCUGUGCUUUGUUACCUCUGGACCCAAACCCAGACACCUUCAUUCACGCCAGCCUCUUCCCAGCCCCUGGCUUCAGAGUCACACACGUGCAUCUCCACAGUCACAUCUCUCCAGUGCCUUUCCCCCUGUCAUUGCCCUCCUGCGUGAGUCACCUGGGAAUCUUUGUGCCCCAGGAGAUGCUCUGGAAAAGGUUUAUUUUCCCAGAACUUGGCAAACCCAAUCUCUGAGUAAUUCUCUUUCAAUUUUUCCAUUCCUCUUCAUGAUCUCUCUGCUUGCCUGCCAGCCUCUUCUCAUUUGGAUCAACGUCUCACCACAACCACUCAUCGGCAACAAGGGAAAAGACACUGUAUGGGCUUUUACCCCAGCUGCAAUCAGCCCCUACUGAGACAGGCCGUUAAGAGGAAAGCAGCAUCAAGUGCAUUCGGUGAGCAGCCAAGGCACGAAGGGGAACACCCAGAGCAGAAACCACAACACCCAGAGGUUUUUCUAAUAACAAGCUGGAGCCUCUCUUGUUUCUCUAUCAGUUUGAGCCUCGUAAACCUUCUCAUCUUGCAUUUUAAUCCCAAUACAUUCACCGAAUUUCACAACAGACCACUGGAAAGGCUGAAAGGCAGUUUUUACCAGCAAAGGAAAGAGAUACAGAUCUCCAGACGUCCUCUGAUGAAAACGAUACCUCUCUGAGGGGCUCCUACCCUCUGUCAGUUGGUUCUGGAACAAACAAAAGCCCUUCUCCCUUCUGCAGCCCUCAGCUUUCUGAUUCUGACUGCUGCACUUCACCCUCCCCUGCCUUCGCCAUCUCCCAGUGCUGUCAGCAUGACUUCACCCCACUGUGCCCCACUGCUACACCCAGAGGAGAACCACACUGUACUGCAGCACGGAGCUCCCGUUACUUGGAAGGGGCGAACCCCACGCUGCUGGGUGCACUUCCCAUCGCCUUUUGGCCGGCACCCCGAGGAGCCUUACUUCUCAGAACGACGUCUCUUUUUCUGUCCCCCAUUUUCUGAUGGACUGUUUUCAAAGAGCUCGCACACAGCUCUGCAGAACCUCAGCACGAGGUGGGGACGAGGGCGGCAGCACCGCCCCGUAACAACCGCAGUUUCCACACUGGACGUGAAUCCCCCGCCCGCUGCUACCGGGGGGCAGCGGCCCCUUCCCAUCCCCGCUCACCCUUCAUCAGCUCCACCCGUUUGAACUCGAACGGGAUGUUGUUGCACCGGGCGAAGAGGAAAACCGCCCGGCAAGGCUGCGAGAGCAGAUCGAGGUACAGCUCCAGCCCCAUGCUGCCUCCCUCGCUGCCGUCCUGUCCGUUCUGUCCCGCAGACGCCGGCACGGGGCGGGGCGGCACCGCGGAGGCGGACCCGGAGCUCCUGCCCCGUUCCCGGCUCUGCUCCGCACCGCCCGAACCGAACCCACGAUGCAGCCGCUCCCCAGGACCCACAGGGCGAAGUUCUGCAACGUGUCAUCAGGACCUGGUUCGGCUUAAUCACUGUCCUUAAUCACUGAAUGAUAAGACAUGAAGGCACUUGAUUAAUGGGAUGCUGUGCCCGGGCGAGUUCGUUCAUGGGAACUCGCAGUUCUGGUGUAGGGCGUUGCACACAUCUCCUCCAUGACCAAACUGGAUCAUGGCAAAACCAACUUGACAGGCAGGUACAGCACCCGAGCAGCAGGAGGACAGAUGCAGGCUUGGCUGCUGUGACAGUCACAUGUUGCUCCUGCUGUGCUUACAGCAUGUGAACGUCUUCCCCGACUUGCAUCCCUCCAAGCUUUCCAAUACCCUCCCUUUUAUUUUUCCUCCAUCAUUGUAUUGCCAACGAUGGUGUACAUUUACAUUGUUUUACAAAACAACAAAAGCCAGAGCUGGAUCUCUUCCUGCAGGUCUCCAAGGGCUGGUGGAGGCUACAACCACAGGCAGUUGUUAGUCAGGGGCUGAAAAUACCAGAGGUAAAUAUAGAAUUAAGGCUCUUAAAUUCAUAGUAGACAUGAGAUGUUUUAGUCUGCAUUAACAGUAACACUUAGCACAGCUGCUGCUACCCCUUGUACUGAUAGGAAGGAAACAAUGCAGGCAAGGAAAUAACAAAAAGACACAGCAAUACAACCCAAAAUCCACUGUCAUCACCUCUGUAUUUCAGAAACUUUGGGAUAGUAUACAUAAAAUCUUUUUAAAAUAUACGAUGUCUAUUUAUUUAAAAGUUGCAGUUCAUUCAAUCUACAACGGUUCUUCGAAGGAUUCUGCUCCAGGCACUGCACUGCACGCAUUCCUAUGCUUUCAUGAGGAUGCAGCUCCUUGCACAACAUGGCAGAACUGAGCUGUCCAAUUUCAGAGGCAAAAAAGGCACAACCCACACAUCUGGUGACCAGCAGCUCCAUCAGACCCGUGACCAAGAAGUGGACAUGGCUCUUCUGUUCACUGGAGGCAGUUGUCAAUAUGCCAGUUGGGCAAUGAUGCAAAAUCCUCUUCGAAAACAAUUGCAUUUGCUUCUUGAAAGCCAGUAAAUUAAGCCUGUUUCCUGUGUCCUCGAAACGAGAAUGAGGCAUGUAACAGCUGAUUUUAGACAAGAUAAGCUUGAGGAGAUGAGCACCGAGCUCAGGAACCACAUCUCCUUGUUACUGUGCUGGUUAUCUUCCGUGCCAUGAAGCACAGCCACCUCUGCCUGCGUUCAUUCAGACUCUUUUCUGUGCUCGCUCGACCUGUUCAAAAUUAAAGUUGAGAAGGUGACUGGAAAUGUUUCUGCCCAGGGCCAUACAGAAGGGACUUUGGGCAGCAAAGUAUCAUGAUCUGUUCUGCUCUGCCCCUAAUAAUCCAAAUCUGCAACUCAAAAUCGUAAUUCUUCAAGAACAAAAGUUUGUCAAGUCCUCAAAGAAGAGAGCAGAACACUUACUCAAAUCACACAGCACAAAACUAUCCGUUACAGUUCCCUUGUCCACCAACGUGGCAAGUUAAAUGCUAUCCUGCUUCUGUCCAAAAGCUCUCAACUUUCUUACUGGUGUGUAAAGGUCUGCAGAAAAUGCUUUCCUUCACACCAGAACAGACAUGUCUCAGUCCAAGAGAAGGCUUCUGGACACUAAUACUUGUGCUUGUCAUGACUUGCAACGAACUGUAAACUGUAGCUUUAAAUUUUUAAUUUCCUUCCCCAUUUUCUGCUGUUCUUCCCUCUUGCACUCACCUUGACUGUCCUCUCUAGUUUAGAUAGAGCCUCCUCAUAUUGCUGCACCAAUGGCUUUAACGACUUGCCCUUGACCAAGUGCUGCUUUAUGUCUGGAAUGCCAGCAUCCUUCAACAUCUGCCGAAACCUGCGUUCCUGCACAACAAAACAGACACAGCAGACAAAGAAGUGAGUGCCUCCCCUUCGCAGGGGGCAGCCUGCUGUCUCUCAGCUGGAAAAUGAGCACAUUUUGGGAUUUUCUGCCCAGUCACAGUGACUGAAUAAAGAUUUUUCCAAGUACAAAACAGCUGACUGGAGAAGGUGAAAAGCAAUUUGAACUUCCUGUUCCUUACAGUCCUCCACCUUUCCAUUUCAAAUGAAUCUCAUACCGAUGACAUACCUGGAUUCUGAGGACCAUGCUGAAAGCUAAGCCUGCUUUCCCUGCACGAGCUGUUCUUCCAACACUGAAAUCAGGAGAAGGAACAUCAGGUCAGUUCACUCAUGCAGUAGUCACUGCCACAUCUGCUUCAGGAGCCUGACUGUGAAACUCUCCAGAUUUAGGAGGAAGUCUGGAUUUUUAUGUUUAACAGAGCUAGCCAUGUGCUACAAAGGAUGAACAUUUCCAGAGUCCAUUUACAGCUGCUGAGCCUCUGCAGUGUUCUGAGCCUCUGGAAACCCAACUUGACGUUCUUCAGGACAAUGUUUCUAGCUCCUAUAAAACACAUUUUAUAUAACAGGGUGCUAGAUUUCUGUUUUAAUACUACAUUGCUCUCGUGAUGCCAUGAAUUAGCUUCUGAUUUAAGAAGUUAGCUCUACACUGAAGUGAAAAGGAGCUUCAGCUCUGGAUUUUUUUAAGUGCAUGUUGCUUAUACUAAGUAUUUCAGAGAGCACCAGGCUCCAGCAUCUCCCUUUUGCCCCUGCUUUGUCUUACCGGUGAAUGUAUGUCCUGAUGAACUGAGGUGUGUCAUAGUUUAUUACACAGUUCACUCCUUUAAUGUCAAUCCCUCGAGCAGUGGCAUCUGUGCUGAUUAACCUGGUUUUCAAUAUUCAUACAGUUAUUUUCAGGUAACAUCUCUGCCAUUCCACAAACACAUAGAAAACAGUUGAACACAGCACAGCUACUGCUAAUCUCUGUUAAAACUGGGCAGUCAACUUCUGAGCACUAAGCAUUCAAGCAGCACUGUAAGUCACAGAGUGUAACUGGCAUUAGCUGCCUGUUCUAAGUGCCACUACAGUUACAUAUGAAAAGCUAUAAAGCAUUUCCAGGCUCUCCAAGCAUGCAGCACUGAGCCAGACAGCUGCCAGCACACCACAGGUUACAAACCUGUAAACAUCUGAGCAUUCCUUAAAGGUACUGAAUGCAGACAGUGAGGUGUCUGCCAGUAAUCAAGGAAGAAUUUAAAUACACGGUUUGGACAAAAAGAAAAUCCAGAAAAUAAACAUUUACCUUCUUUUGGGGGACAUUUCACAGAUGCAAUCCCAAUACAGUUAUGAACAUCACAAAGUGAAUCAAAAUUAUGGAUGGAAAUGGAUAGCAUGGAUAGUAAACCCAGCUGCCAAUCUGAGCCAGGUCCCACGUUUUUCAACUCAUUCCUGCACGCUGUUUUACAGGGGAGCCCUGUUUAAAUAUCCUCUUAAUUCUAACUAGUUUUACACUAGAAAUAGUGUAUGUCCUGAGACUUACAGGAAACUCAUUUAAGAUACUCACAGUUGUAUCUUUCCUUGUUCAAAUUCCUUCAUGGUUCUCUGUCUCUCGUUUGGAGCUAACCGAGAAGAAAACUCAGCCACAGUGAUUCCACCAAAAGCUUGAACAAGCAGGAACAAUCUGCAGGUGGAUGGGACAGAAACCAUCACCUCACCACUUCACUGUAACACCACCGUGGCCGCUAUCUGCCAAAUGGCCUCAGGAAUAUAUUCACCUGUGGGAAGCCUCUCUGGAGUUGGUAAAACACAACACACGGGUGAACUUCUUUGUCAGCAUGAAGUGCAAGAGGAGCAAUGGCUUGGAAUUCAGGUCACAAGGCACGUAACUUUGCUGCAGUCAUCAGGGAAGAAGUUCAGAGACAAAUUAGUUCUUGCCAGGGCUUUCUUCCCUGAAACUUACUACCUGUCCAUAACCUACAUAGACUUGGAUGUUUUGCAACAAAACCAGUUCCCACAGUGCCACCCCCUAUUUAGAACAAGUCACAGCAACACAGCACCAGGCAGAGGCAGGAGACCUAUGUUGUUCUAGUGCUCUCACUUCUCUGUGGCAAGUAACAACACACACUGCCUUCUGGUCUGCAGAUGGAUUUGUAUUCACAUGCCUUAGAAUACAUGUGUAAAAUACAACUUGAGACGGGCAGUUGAGAAGUGUACAUUGCUGCUUAUCUCCACUCCCUUUUGCAAGCAAAUUUAAUUUGGUAUGAAGAGUUUAAUUUUAAAGAAUUCCGGUCCUAACCAAACAAACAGUAAUGAGAAAACAGGUGAGUGAAGGCAGAGCUCUUGGAGUCACAAAAACUCCCAAAGCCACUUUCUCUCAGCAUCUCUGUAACACAAGACGUUGAAGGAAAGGUGUAUUUAUUCAUAGGCUACAAACAUCACUAGAUAUCCCAGAGUUAAACUAAUCUCAAAGUCUAAUUUACUCAAACACCUUCUUUUUUCCAACAGCUACCACAUAGGUUACUUCUACAUUUGCAAGAGAAUUCAUAUCAUACCGACAGCCCCUCAGGCAGGGUGUACUUCUCUUCAGAAUCCUGUUCGGUCUCUGUUCCAUCUCUGAGUGUUUUUUUCUCAGAGUAGACAGACGUGAAGAGGCGAGGCUGAAACAAGCCCAACUGCUGCAGCUUCUCUGGGUCCUGGGUCAGCGUAGCUGAAAACAGCAGUUUCUGUAAGGGUAUCUGAGGGUAACAGCAGCUGAAAUGAACAGCAUAUGGAAACUGAACUCUGAGAAUAGGGCAAAGGAACUCCCCCCCACGUGCCUUCAGAUGAUGUUAUGAGGGAAACAAUUAACUCUUUGACACCCAUUUCCCACACUGGUAAGAUCUUUCCCACUCUCCUUUAACAGUGGAGCUCACAGAUGGAACUGGAUCAGCAUUCUCAACUCAACUGCUCAACCCUCAUUUGUUACCUUGCGCCCCAGUUACCCCUGCCCCAAUCCGAGUCACUGCCUUCCUUCACUGCUGAUCUCGGUUUCUGAUGCACCUCUGCCAUGCUAUUUGAAAAGAGCAGCUGCAGAUGCACAGUUCAGCACUUUCCUUCAAAUGACUCAGUAUGUCAGAGGGCAGUGCUAUUGUUUGCUGUGUAAAUGAUUCAGAGACUUGCACUAUUUGUGUAUUCUUUGGAUGCUGCUUUAGUCUAGUUAAGGAACGCCUGAAGAAGACAAUACUUAGAUUUCAGCCUAAAAGACAUCCUUUAAUACCAGCUGUUCACUGCCUGCUUUUUCAAGCUUUGAAGUAGCUGCCUCACUUUGGCAGACAAUUCUCUGAAUAUCCUUGCAAGCAGUUCAAAGAAAUGCAUUUUGCAGCUUACCCAGCUGCUGUUACAGGCCCUGGUUUGGUCCUCUGAAAAAGUGUACUGGAACCAGCUUCAUUUUCUGCUUGGAAUGCAGCUUUGACAACUUGGUUCAGCCAAUUCUGGUGCAUGUCAUCAAUCAUACGGUCAGCUUCGUCUAUGAUCUGUAGCCACAAAGACAAAAAAAACUACAUGUUAAACACUCUUGAAUGUGGCAGCUCAUUUAUUUAUUUAAAUCUAGAACAGUGAGCCAGAAUCCAAGAUGUAUAAAAGCUUCUCAUCAACAGAAAUGCUUACUUUGCCCAUCUUUUCUCAAAUGAAGGCACACCUUUCUAUCCCCAAACUGAAUUCUGCUUUCAUUUCAGUUGCUCAGAAGCCAACCAGACACUCAAACCACACACAAGUUCAUUUGCACUUCUGCAAAUACAUGUUUGUAUUUAAGAGAAAACACUUCAAACCCUAAUUAAGUUGGAAGCCAUGUCUCUAUACAGAUUCCAAUAUGGUGGAACUUGAAACCCUGAUAAUUAACCCUGGGAAAAAAAAAACAAAACACCACACACUAUUUUUUGUGUCUGCAAGGGUAAGUAAGUGUCACAAGUGGGAACAGAACUUCUCAUCUUAAGGCAGCUGCAUGAACUGCCUAAAGCACGAACCAAGUACACACAACAGUUCCAACACAGAUAUAUUUAUGCCCUGUGCAAGAACAAAGCAAGAAUUACAGACCCAACAGCCCGUGCUCUGCAAUGGGAGACGUGUGGAGGUGACUCACCAGGAAGCGAAGCUGCGUCAGGCUGAACCCUGGGGUCUUGCUGAUGUGAUCUGCGAGCCGCCCUGGUGUGGCCACAAUAAUAUCAGCAAGGCUGCAGUAGCCUGUCACCCUGCAAGAACAAGCUGCUCAUCAGUAAGCUUCUCCCCACGCUGUAAAGCAUGUAACAGAGAUCUUUGGUAAGAAGGCCCGAAGAUUUUCCACGUGUUUUUUCAUUUAUGGUAAUUUUAGAAUUGCAAUUCAAAUAUCCAAUUUACCAGCAAACAAAAGCAAUACUGGGCACUAAAUCCUGCUCUCCAUUGUACUGCCCCAGUUUAAACAAAAAGUAACAUUCUUCGAUGCAAGUCAGAACAGAACACUUAAGGAAAGUUGCAGCAAAAAGCAGUAGGUCAGUUGUUUCUGUGGGCACACAGUGUUUCAUUCUACUCAGGUACUGAAGAGCCCUAAAAAUCUGAAAAUGUAACAACUGCAAGAAAGAACUGAAGCAGGCACCUGGGAAAAAAACAACAACAGCCUCUAGCAUAUAAACCCACUAUCCAAAAUCUUCUCGCACGAUGGUGCAAUACAACAGUUUGUAUUUUGACCUCUGCUUGUGGAGAUUAGAGUUUACAACCUCUAUAAACCUUAUCAAAAGACCACUUAACCUACUUUUUCUGGACGAGCAUUUCUUGCUCCUUUGCGAAAGAUUUCUGGCCAGUAAUCAAUACAACCUUCAGACCUGUCCCAUCGGUGUAAAUGUUGAACACUUUACUCACCUGUAAAGAAACGGGCUUUGUUAGCUGCAAGAAAAUCAGUGAAACUGAUACUUUUCAUUAACAAUCCCACUGACAGAGCAUUCAGCCUGCUUUCCUGAACAGCCAUGCAAAUAUUUACUGCGUCAGCCCUUCUUUCAGCACAGUUCUGCUCAGCUAGAAAGGUGAAGAGCUACUUACCUGUUGUGCCAGUUCCUUGGUGGGCAGAACAACCAGAGCUCGCACUUGGCAAACUACCCUAUCCAGCAGAACCUGUAAAAACAAAGGUCAAAUGAGGCCCUAACACAACGGGGUGAGAAGGAGUUUCUUUAAACUAAUGAGAAGAGAGAGGCUUCACACGUCCUCCCAGAGUUUUACAUUUCUGUUUUAUUCCCUUUCAACUCCUCGUGUUUUGUCAGCUGUCUGCAGAAGAGCAGUGAGCACAAGUGGGUUCAUGUAGACCCUUCACACAGCUCUGAGCAAAAAUCCCUGCUGAUUGGCAUUCACAAGUUUCUCGGCUUUCUCAUCUACUUUUAAGUUUAAGUUUUGCCUGAACAAAAGCAACUCCACGUUUUCCCUACAGGUAUUUUGCUGGUAGUAAAAACUCACCUGCACUAUUGGGAUGACAAAAGACAGGGUUUUUCCACUGCCAGUGGGUGCUGAGACACAGAUGUCCCUGGGGCGGUAUCCUCCCUGCCCCAUCAAAUACCCAUUGGAUGCACUCUGCAGAACAGCAGGUAUCACCUCUGCCUGAACUGAACAGAAAUGGAAACACACAUUACUUGCAGAGUUAAUUAACUAGACUAAGACUGGUUUAUCUAGGAAAUCCAUGUUGUAUACAACAAAUCUGUGUCCACAUCUGUACCAUUGCUGCUGCAGGUGUAAGACUAGAAGAAGUAAAACCAGUACAGAUACUGUC